rnacentral:rRNA from 1 species
CCCUUAGACGUUCUGGGCCGCACGCGCGCUACACUGACCAGUGCAACAAGCAUCCGUCCUUGGCCGACAGGCUCGGGCAAUCUUUGAACGCUGGUCGUGAUGGGGAUAGACUGUUGCAAUUUUUGGUCUUCAACGAGGAAUUCCUAGUAAACGCAAGUCAUCAACUUGCAUUGAUUACGUCCCUGCCCUUUGUACACACCGCCCGUCGCACCUACCGAUUGAAUGGUCCGGUGAAGCCUCCGGAUUGGCGCGCACCUCGGUGCCGCCGAGAAGUUGGCUAAACCUUACCAUUUAGAGGAAGGUGAAGUCGUAACA